GAACGAACGCUGGCGGCAUGCCUAACACAUGCAAGUCGAACGAGACCUUCGGGUCUAGUGGCGCACGGGUGCGUAACGCGUGGGAACCUGCCCUUAGGUUCGGAAUAACUCCCCGAAAGGGGUGCUAAUACCGGAUAAUGUCUUCGGACCAAAGAUUUAUCGCCUUUGGAUGGGCCCGCGUUGGAUUAGCUAGUUGGUAGGGUAAAAGCCUACCAAGGCGACGAUCCAUAGCUGGUCUGAGAGGAUGAUCAGCCAUACUGGGACUGAGACACGGCCCAGACUCCUACGGGAGGCAGCAGUGGGGAAUAUUGGACAAUGGGCGAAAGCCUGAUCCAGCAAUGCCGCGUGAGUGAUGAAGGCCUUAGGGUUGUAAAGCUCUUUUACCCGGGAUGAUAAUGACAGUACCGGGAGAAUAAGCUCCGGCUAACUCCGUG
rnacentral:rRNA from 1 species